GAUGAAGAACGUAGCGAAAUGCGAUAACUAAUGUGAAUUGCAGAAUUCAGUGAAUCAUCGAGUCUUUGAACGCACAUUGCGCCACCUGGUAUUCCGGGGGGCAUGCCUGUCCGAGCGUCAUUGCUGCCCUCAAGCACGGCUUGUGUGUUGGGCUCCGUCCCCCCGGGGACGGGCCCGAAAGGCAGCGGCGGCACCGAGUCCGGUCCUCGAGCGUAUGGGGCUUUGUCACCCGCUCUGUAGGCCCGGCCGGCGCCAGCCGACAACCCAUCAUCCUUUUCAGGUUGACCUCGGAUCAGGUAGGGAUACCCGCUGAACUUAAGCAUAUCAAUAAGCGGAGGA
rnacentral:misc_RNA from 1 species